UACGAAGGGGGCUAGCGUUGCUCGGAAUCACUGGGCGUAAAGGGCGCGUAGGCGGCCACGCACGUCCGUUGUGAAAUCGCCCGGCUCAACUGGGCGGGGUCAGCGGAUACGGUGUGGCUCGAGCAAGCUAGGGGGCAAUGGAAUUCCCGGUGUAGUGGUGGAAUGCGUAGAUAUCGGGAGGAACACCAGUGGCGAAGGCGGCUCUCUGGGACGGUACUGACGCUGAGACGCGAAAGCGUGGGGAGCGAACGAGG
rnacentral:rRNA from 1 species